CCGACUCGUCUCAGUCGGACGCCGCCUGUGUCGAGCGGCGGUGAUAAAUCUCGGCGGCACACGGCCCACAGAUCUCUCCGUCGGUAACCUGCAGCUCACCACCGAUGUCGACACGUAUCUCUGCUGAGCGCCCGCUGCCGAGAAUACAUGAAAGGAUGAACCGUGUUCACGUGGUUACGGGUGUUUGGCCGCCAACCGGCCGCGUUCACACGGAGGCUCGGGUGAGACGUUGGACUCUUGUGUUGCCUUCAGGGGCGUCAACUCAUCUUCACCGGGGGCCCGUCAGCAUCCUGGCCGCCCUCAGAGGGAUGGAACUGUAACGACUCCCAAACAUGUUGUUAAAUAACUGUCUGUAUGAGAUACUAUUGAUAUUUUGAUUGUCCGACGUUUGUGGGACUUGCGCAACACGUACAAAUAGUGGUUAUGUCUUCCGGCGGCGGUAAUGGAUUAUUUCCAUGGCGAUAAGUCACGCCCCCUCUCUUCUGGUGCGAGGGAAGUGAAUGAUCACGAAGAGUCCGGCGAGAGUUCCCUUCUCUUUUUUUGGUGUGAACGCAGCAUGAAGGAAGGCAAAAAAUGGCCUUCAAAAUAAAAGCACAGGGUUAUUUUUCAAGCCUUGUGUUUGACACAUGUGACUUAAAGUCUUAAAUACUGUUUCCAUGGCGAUAGGCCACGACCCCUCUAGAGCGCUUGUAGCACGAGUCAAGUGAAUGAUUACGAAUAGUCUGUCGAGAGUUCGCUUCUCUUUUUUGGUGUGAACGCAGCAUGAAGGAUGGCAAAAAAUGGCCUUCAAAAUAAAAGCACAAGGUUAUUUUUUGCUUACUUUUUUUUUUAAUAAAAAGCGAUCAUACGUC